rnacentral:lncRNA from 1 species
GGCGGGCUGGGGCCUAACGCCUAGGCGGGGCUUAGACGGACUAGAGGGAUUUAAGUAAAUUUGUUAUAUUUCACAUAAAUAAGUGUCUGUUUAUACUUAAAAUACAUAUAAUUACAUUAUAAAUUACAAAAUAAAAUGACAUAUAUAUAUUAUGAAGUAUUGAAACAUAAUGAAAACAUGGGGAACAAGCAUAUAAUGUGUGUUUAUUUAAGUAUUCAACAAGUCUCUUACAAUUUUUUUUUCUAAAAAAUGCAAAAUGAAAGUUAUCUAUUUUUUGUCUAAGUAAGUCGCAACCUAGGCGGGUGUCUAGGUGGGUCUAGGCUGGCUAGGAGGGCGCCUUAGCAGGUCCAGGUGCCAUUUCUAAAUUUUUAAACGCCUAGGCAUUUACCGGGACAGUGUCAAACCGCCUAGCGCCUAGGCGGGGAUUUUUAGAAUAGUGCUCAUGCGGCUUCACAAAUGCGAAUAAGUGAUCAUAUAGAUGGGUAGUUUGGGUACAUAUUUUGGGAAGUGAGAUUUGAACUUAGUUACAUAGAGAGAAACAAUUUGUUUUAGCUAAUUUCGCUACUUUCAUAUUUACGAUUAAGCAAAAUCAUAUUAAGUUUGAAGUAUUCGCACUCUGCUAAUAUCCUAUAUGCAUAAAUAUAAUUGACUUUUAAUAAUGAAAUAAAAAGUAUAAGAUAAUGACAAAAAUGUCAUACUCCAAAAGGUGCUAAAUGACAUGCAGAAGUACGUGUUGUUACGAUUCACCUCUAUCAUACUUAAGAGUACAAUUAUUAACAAUAAAAUUCAUUUUCUAGAUUUAUAUAAUAUGCCCCUACUGGUUCAUGAGAAAAAGGAGCCCUCACUAAAUAUAAUUUUCUGGCUUCGUCUUUGAACUACAUCUUAAAAUAAUCUUUCACCCUUUUUAUUUCUACAUACUCAUAACGUACUAACCUUAAACAUCCAACAUGAUCUUGGGUUUUCGAUGACAUUCUUGAUGUUUUAUAAUCACAUAAUUAGUCAAAUUACUUUUUAUUGUAGUAACUAGGGGCGCAGUCGUGGGCUUGAAGAUGUUUGAAAUGCUAAGUUGAUGCAAAGUGCACGGGUGGGUGGGGCAUAUGAUAAUUGCAAGUUAGAUAUGAAAAAUAUAUGAAUCGACCAUGUACGAUGAAUCUGUAUGCAUCAUUUCAGGCCUAACUGGCUAGUCAAAAUAAUGGUGAUGAAUUGGCCGUUUGGAAUCACCUCUAUUUUGGUUCAAUUUCAUUAGAAAAAAAAAACAGUUCAUUUUAUAUACUUUAAACAAAAAUUUAAUGGAGAAAGAAUAAGCGAUAUUAGCUCUUCGACAAUAGUUGUGUGCGAGAUACAUACCCUCUUCCAAAAGGGUGAGGGGCAUUACACCUAGAAACCCCACACAUGUCCCUUCUCCACUAUUUUUAUUGAUGAUAUAAAAGAGGGGAGAGGAAGGGGGAAAUAGGCCAAGACCCUCAAAGAUAAAAUGAUCAACGAAAAUGGUAAUAAGGACAAAAUAUAAUGUCACAAGCAUAGGCAAAGGCUACAAAUUUGGAAUUGUAGACCACCACUUAUUAAGCAUAUAUAACUAUUUGCAACUUGAUUUCCUUCUCGAUAAAUAUGUGUACAAAUAAAUCGCAUUUGACGAAGUUGCCACAAAUAGUUCUUUCAAUCCACCAUAAGAUACAAAUAGACUACGUUUGGAGCCUUGAAAAGAUAAUGAAUAACCAACAUGAAAUCUAUUUCAAUCCAAAUGCUUCCAAUCUCUUUUCCAAGUUAUACGCACAGCCUUAAUGAAAGUAAAUUUCUGCAACUGAACUUACAAAUUUUGUGUGUUUAGGGAGUGAUAAAAAUAGUAUCUGAGGACCACCACAAUUAGCAAACAAGUCUAACAUUUAAGCACAUGUGAAAAAUAAAAACAGAUAAUUCAUUUUUUUUGUUGUUUCGUUUCAGUAUUCGUCAUAUAUAUGCAUUUGGAACAAAGAAAAUUGAAGUUGAAGAUGGAAUAGAAAUGACCUAGCAGCUUCCUUUGUGGUUUUUAUUUAUUUUUAUUUCGUUCUUAUACUUUUCUAUUCGUUUCCUCUCUUCUAGUUUUUCUAUUGAUAUCUUUAUGUAAGAUUUGGCUUAUUUAUUUAUUUAUUUUAAUAGUGGUGGGUUUGUAGACAAGAAAAUUGAUGGAGGGCACAAUUAACUACGAGGGAAUAGUGUUCUCUUCCCUUAUGAACAUAACAGGUAAAUUAAAAAUUAAGAUGUGAGCUAUGACUUGGUAUAAUAAUAUUCAUGCAUAUAUAUAUAUAUAUUAUUGCAGUUGGCUAUUGUAGUGUGUCAUCUUGUUGCAUUAAAGUUUGAAUAUCUUUUCCGACAGAUUAGAGUAUUAAAUAAUAUUUAUGCCUAAUUUAAAAUUAAAAAAGAAAUAAAUAUGCCAAGUGGGAGUAGUCUUGCUUGACCGGUGAUAUGGGCACUAAUUGUAGCAUGCACCCUUGUCCCCCUUACAAGAGAAAAUGAGGGCUGGCAGCAAAAGUCUUUAAUUUUCAUCAAAUUAUCUGGACCAAAAUUUGCUAGCACACAUCUCCAUAUUUUCACUGUGUGAAAUACAAUGUAGUUUAAAUGGAAAAACCAAAUUUAUAUUCAUGUUAUAGGUUAUAAGCAAAUAGCAAAUUUUUGUGGAAAAUAUUUACCUUGUGUACAUGAUAAAGACAUUAGAAAAGAAUGAUCCUAAAAUGGCAUUUUCCUAGAAGCUCCAUAUGCAUGAGAUAUGUCAAAGAUGCAUGCUCUUCUACUGCAGAGUUGUCUCUUUCGUGCACUAGUAUCCAGUUCACUAGUAUCCAUUCUUUCUGGAGGACUUUCAAAGUUGAUCAAAGUAUCUUAGUUUUGAUGACUUUGAAAUGAAGAGUUUCAAGGGGGCAUGUAUCUAUAGCUUUCAAACAUCAAUUUUUCAAUGCCGACUUGAUCAAUUAGUUUUUGUACAUUUAGCAUAACAUUUUUGGCCGUGUAUAUCCCAAUCAGAAAACUAUUCGCAACGAAAAUUAACCCUAGUAAAUUUGGAGGUUCAUACAAAUUAAGGUCACUUUCAUUUGGGUGGAGGUUUACGUCCAGAUAGCAGCUAAGCAGGAUUUUUGGCUAAUCAUUUCACAUGAAUCCCGAUGUUAUACAAAGAGAGAGACGUAAAGAAAAUGCAAAGUGACACCAAUCUACCUAAUGAAAGAUUAGUUCCCUAUUGCCUUUAGCUAUUUUGUUUUUAAUUUUUUUCGUGCUUUCAAAAGGUUAUGAUUUUGAUUUUACUUGUUGCAUCAAAAUCAAAUAAAAAUAUAUAAGUUGUGUGUGCGAGUCUUUUGCAUACGUUUAAUGAAGUUCGAACAAUAUAAAUGCAAAUGAAGAUAAAUUUAGAAACAUAAAUAAAACCAUUUUCGUACCGAAGGUGAAAUUUUACUCAAUAUUCGGAGCUCAAAAUUUAGCAACGGGUGAUAUUUAUGCCUAUAUUCGUCCUCUAACAUCUAGAGGGGGCGCGGUCAUGUUCAAGCAGACAUCUGGGCCAAAUAUAAAACAACAUAGUCUAGUCCAAUUUUAAGUUUUCAAAGCAUCACUAUAAAUAUAACAGUAGCGCUCAAGCGGUAAUUGAUUAGUAAGUUUAUAUGGUGCGAAACACUUGUUUGAGCCUUUUUAAAAACAUCCUUGAAAAAAAUUAGCCAAAUCAAAUACCAUUUAGUCAUGUAACUAUAAUCAAACAAAUUGACCAAUACAAUACUUACUAUAACUAAUGAAAAAUUUCACAAGAACUAUUAAAUUAUGAAAUGACUGCCCGUUGAGCUAAUUUUUUGUAGGAUGAUCAAUGGUUAGGGCUUGAUUGUCUAUUUAUGAGUGCAUUUGUGCUGUGAUUAUCAUUUAUUUACCUUCGUAAUUGUUACUUAAGCCCAGUUUGGUAUUUCUUUUUUUUUUUCCACCAAAAACUGCUUCAAUUUAAAGUUACGCAGUAAAAAGGUGUUUGGUAAAAAUAAAAUAUACUGCUUAUUUUAAAAGUAAUGGUCUCUAAAUAGUAGCUUUUAAAAGUAGCUUGUAGGUUUUUUUUUAAAAGUUACUUUAAUAAAAAACGGUGUUGAGCCUUUAGAAUAUUUUUAAUUCCUAUAAUAAACUCAUUAAUUUUAAACAAUGAUAUUAUUUAUCCUUCUAGACAUUGUUUUUACAUUGCUUUUCAUACUCAUAACACUUUUAACAAUACAAUUUGUCAAAUGCUUACAUACUUUAUUUUGCAGCUGAUUAUUCUUAAAACACAUAAAAAACAAUUUAUUAAAAAAUUACAACAAUCCCGAAAUGGCCUUUAGUAACAUCCAAUAAUCUUGUUAGCAUAAUAUUGUAGAAUGUCUUUUUAUUACAUUCACAUGUCCAAAAUUAAUAGACACAAAACCUAAGAAAAAAGACAAUCACGUAUACUCCAAUUUUACGAGUAUCUAUUAUAUAAUUAUACAGUUAUUUAUUUAUUUUAUUAUUUUAUUUUUACUUUAAUCCUUGAAAAAGAUUGAAAUUUAAUAAAAAUUCGGUGUUAGAUUACAUAUUGAUUAUAGUCUCUUGAUGUGUCCUUAAUUCAAAUUAAUUAAGGUAUAUUUAGUUCAAUGUCUCACAUUAAAUAUUUAAAUAUAUUAAUAUACACAUUUUAAUUUAUUUUUUUAAACAAAAAGUUUUUUUUUUUGUUUUUUAUUAGUUUUAUUUAAACAUUCUUCAAACUUGAAAGACUCAAUUAAUGUACCUAAAUGUUAGUAUCAAAAUCUAUUAUGUUGAAUUAAUGUGCCAAAAUGUAUGCAUUGAAAUGUAUUAUAUUGAAUUAAUGUACCUAAAUGUGUGUAUUGAAAUGUUUGCACCAAAAUGUAUGCACCAAAAUGUUGUGCUGAAAUGUAUGCACCAAAAUGUAUUAUAUUGAAUUAAUGUACUUAAAUGUAUCUACCAAAAUGUAUGUGCCAAAAUGUGUUAUUGAAUUUAAUGUACCUAAAUAAAGAAGAUAAAGUAUAUUGAAAUAUAUUUUAUAACAAAAAUUAGUUUAUCUAAAUGUUUACAACAAAAUAUAUUACGAUGAAUGAAAUGAAAAUUAUAAUGAAAUAUAAUUAAUACAUUAAAAUUAGGAAGAAAAAGAGAAAUAAUUAAAACAUCAAAAUAUAAUUAAUAAAUGAGGUGAUUAAUGUAUCAAGGGACUAAAAUUAGAUUUUUGAUCUUACUCAUGGUUUUAGUCUAAAAGUCAUAUUUGCUGAGGAUUAGAAUGAAGUUUGCUAUUAAUUAUAUUACUCUCACUUACUAACAAUUAUUAUGUUACUUCGCACAUGACGCUUUAUCAUAAUAGCAAAAAAUAAUAAUGUCUUUUUUCUUCUUUUUUGGAUAACAAAAUAAUAGCGAAAAAUAAUAGUGUCUGUUGAUGCACAAAAUCAGUAAGGACUUUGGUACAACAGAAAAUGUUAA